UUAAGUGACUAAGCGUACACGGUGGAUGCCCUGGCAGUCAGAGGCGAUGAAGGACGUGCUAAUCUGCGAAAAGCGUCGGUAAGGUGAUAUGAACCGUUAUAACCGGCGAUGUCCGAAUGGGGAAACCCAGUGUGAUUCGUCACACUAUCGUUAACUGAAUACAUAGGUUAACGAGGCGAACCGGGGGAACUGAAACAUCUAAGUACCCCGAGGAAAAGAAAUCAACCGAGAUUCCCCCAGUAGCGGCGAGCGAACGGGGAGCAGCCCAGAGUCUGAAUCAGCUUGUGUGUUAGUGGAACGGUCUGGAAAGUCCGACGGUACAGGGUGAUAGUCCCGUACACCAAAAUGCACAGGUUGUGAACUCGAAGAGUAGGGCGGGACACGUGGUAUCCUGUCUGAAUAUGGGGGGACCAUCCUCCAAGGCUAAAUACUCCUGACUGACCGAUAGUGAACCAGUACCGUGAGGGAAAGGCGAAAAGAACCCCGGCGAGGGGAGUGAAAAAGAACCUGAAACCGUGUACGUACAAGCAGUGGGAGCACCUUCGGGUGUGACUGCGUACCUUUUGUAUAAUGGGUCAGCGACUUAUAUUCUGUAGCAAGGUUAACCGUAUAGGGGAGCCGCAGGGAAACCGAGUCUUAACUGGGCGUUAAGUUGCAGGGUAUAGACCCGAAACCCGGUGAUCUAGCCAUGGGCAGGUUGAAGGUUGGGUAACACUAACUGGAGGACCGAACCGACUAAUGUUGAAAAAUUAGCGGAUGACUUGUGGCUGGGGGUGAAAGGCCAAUCAAACCGGGAGAUAGCUGGUUCUCCCCGAAAGCUAUUUAGGUAGCGCCUCGUGAAUUCAUCUUCGGGGGUAGAGCACUGUUUCGGCUAGGGGGUCAUCCCGACUUACCAACCCGAUGCAAACUACGAAUACCGAAGAAUGUUAUCACGGGAGACACACGGCGGGUGCUAACGUCCGUCGUGAAGAGGGAAACAACCCAGACCGCCAGCUAAGGUCCCAAAGUCAUGGUUAAGUGGGAAACGAUGUGGGAAGGCACAGACAGCCAGGAUGUUGGCUUAGAAGCAGCCAUCAUUUAAAGAAAGCGUAAUAGCUCACUGGUCGAGUCGGCCUGCGCGGAAGAUGUAACGGGGCUAAACCAUGCACCGAAGCUGCGGCAGCGACACUAUGUGUUGUUGGGUAGGGGAGCGUUCUGUAAGCCUGCGAAGGUGUGCUGUGAGGCAUGCUGGAGGUAUCAGAAGUGCGAAUGCUGACAUAAGUAACGAUAAAGCGGGUGAAAAGCCCGCUCGCCGGAAGACCAAGGGUUCCUGUCCAACGUUAAUCGGGGCAGGGUGAGUCGACCCCUAAGGCGAGGCCGAAAGGCGUAGUCGAUGGGAAACAGGUUAAUAUUCCUGUACUUGGUGUUACUGCGAAGGGGGGACGGAGAAGGCUAUGUUAGCCGGGCGACGGUUGUCCCGGUUUAAGCAUGUAGGCUGGUUGUCCAGGCAAAUCCGGAUAAUCAAGGCUGAGGUGUGAUGACGAGGCACUACGGUGCUGAAGUAACAAAUGCCCUGCUUCCAGGAAAAGCCUCUAAGCAUCAGGUAACAUCAAAUCGUACCCCAAACCGACACAGGUGGUCAGGUAGAGAAUACCAAGGCGCUUGAGAGAACUCGGGUGAAGGAACUAGGCAAAAUGGUGCCGUAACUUCGGGAGAAGGCACGCUGGUGUGUAGGUGAAGUCCCUGCGGAUGGAGCUGAGACCAGUCGAAGAUACCAGCUGGCUGCAACUGUUUAUUAAAAACACAGCACUGUGCAAACACGAAAGUGGACGUAUACGGUGUGACGCCUGCCCGGUGCCGGAAGGUUAAUUGAUGGGGUUAUCCGUAAGGAGAAGCUCUUGAUCGAAGCCCCGGUAAACGGCGGCCGUAACUAUAACGGUCCUAAGGUAGCGAAAUUCCUUGUCGGGUAAGUUCCGACCUGCACGAAUGGCGUAAUGAUGGCCAGGCUGUCUCCACCCGAGACUCAGUGAAAUUGAACUCGCUGUGAAGAUGCAGUGUACCCGCGGCAAGACGGAAAGACCCCGUGAACCUUUACUAUAGCUUGACACUGAACAUUGAGCCUUGAUGUGUAGGAUAGGUGGGAGGCUUUGAAGCGUGGACGCCAGUCUGCGUGGAGCCAACCUUGAAAUACCACCCUUUAAUGUUUGAUGUUCUAACGUUGGCCCCUUACCGGGGUUGCGGACAGUGUCUGGUGGGUAGUUUGACUGGGGCGGUCUCCUCCCAAAGCGUAACGGAGGAGCACGAAGGUUAGCUAAUCCUGGUCGGACAUCAGGAGGUUAGUGCAAUGGCAUAAGCUAGCUUGACUGCGAGCGUGACGGCGCGAGCAGGUGCGAAAGCAGGUCAUAGUGAUCCGGUGGUUCUGAAUGGAAGGGCCAUCGCUCAACGGAUAAAAGGUACUCCGGGGAUAACAGGCUGAUACCGCCCAAGAGUUCAUAUCGACGGCGGUGUUUGGCACCUCGAUGUCGGCUCAUCACAUCCUGGGGCUGAAGUAGGUCCCAAGGGUAUGGCUGUUCGCCAUUUAAAGUGGUACGCGAGCUGGGUUUAGAACGUCGUGAGACAGUUCGGUCCCUAUCUGCCGUGGGCGCUGGAGAAUUGAGGGGGGCUGCUCCUAGUACGAGAGGACCGGAGUGGACGCAUCACUGGUGUUCGGGUUGUCAUGCCAAUGGCACUGCCCGGUAGCUAAAUGCGGAAGAGAUAAGUGCUGAAAGCAUCUAAGCACGAAACUUGCCCCGAGAUGAGUUCUCCCUGAGACUUUAAGUCUCCUGAAGGAACGUUGAAGACGACGACGUUGAUAGGCCGGGUGUGUAAGCGCAGCGAUGCGUUGAGCUAACCGGUACUAAUGAACCGUGAGGCUUAACCUU
rnacentral:rRNA from 1 species